AAAGUGCGAUAAUUAGUGCGAUUUGCAUGAAUCUGUGAGUCAUCAAGUAUUUGAACGCAACUUGCACCCAGUUACUGGGUAUGUCUGUUUGAGUGGUGGAUAAACACAAAUGUAGAAAUACGAAUUGCCAGAUGUGAUUGUCUGGUUAAAUAGAGAUUGUGAGAUUAUAUGGGAAAUGGGGAAUUUCUUCAAGUUAGAGACAUAUCUGUCUUGUUGAAGAAACUACCAGCAUUAACCCCAUCAUUUAUUCAACACCCUCAAAUCAGUCAAGAUUACCCGCUGAACUUAA
rnacentral:misc_RNA from 1 species